CCCUUAGUUAUCCUAGGUCGCACGCGCCAUACAAUGUGGCGCACAACGAGUCUCCUUGGCCGACAGGAUGUCCCGCGAGCGAUCGGCGACGCAGCCAGCUCGGUCUUCGGGCAGACUCGGUGAGAGUGGCCCGUCCUCCUGAGAGGGCGAUCGUCGAUGCCUCGGGAUUCUGGGCAAUCUGGCAGAGCGCUACGUGACUGGGCUAGACUUUUGUAAUUUUUGGUCUUGAACGAGGAAUGCCUAGUAAUCGCAGGUCAGCAUCCUGCGAUGAUUCGGUCCCUGCCCUUUGUACCCACCGCCCGUCGCUCCAUCCGUGGCAUGCGCCGGUGAAGAGGGGGAGGCAGCGUCGGCCGUGUAACAGCGGAUCGUACGUGGAACCCCUCUGAACCUUCGCACGUAGAGGAAGGAGAAGUCGUAACA
rnacentral:rRNA from 1 species